ensembl:lncRNA
CUGUACUGGAACCACAGAAUUAGAAUGACUCUGAUUCUAUGAUUCUAAUUCUAUACACUGUACUGGAACCACAGAAUUAGAAUGACUCUGAUUCUAAGAUUCUAAUUCUAUACACUGUACUGGAACCACAGAAUUAGAAUGACUCUGAUUCUAUGAUUCUAAUUCUAUACACUGUACUGGAACCACAGAAUUAGAAUGACUCUGAUUCUAAGAUUCUAAUUCUAUACACUGUACUGGAACCACAGAAUUAGAAUGACUCUGAUUCUAUGAUUCUAAUUCUAUACACUGUACUGGGACAUUGGUAUGCGCUGUAUACUGUAGAAUCCCAGCAGCUGAUAACGGCAUUGAUCAGGUCCAACAAGGGAUGAUAUGUUACAAGAACACUGGACAUUUUCACACUGUAUCUCUGUAUCACUGUAUCUUGCCCAAUGGAUUUAAUAAUGCUUAACCACUAGCCAAAUACGAUGUGUGUUUAAGAAGUACUUUCUUAGCUAUAUAUUUUCUGUUUUAUUUUGUUUGAAUGGUAGAAGAUCAGAGACGACUUUCUGCUCUGGAUCGUGAUGUUGAUAGUCUCUCCAGACAUGUUGAUAGUCUCUCCCGUAGUCUCUCCAGACAUCUGCUUUGCCUCCCACAAUUUUCAAAUGCUCCAACUUAGGGUCUGGUUUUCAAGACUAGACAACACAAGUAUUGACAUCUGAACAGCGUUUUUUUUAAACCCCUGGUGCCUUAUCUUUCUCUAUAAAACAGGAAGGCUGUCAUCUUAUCACCAGACAGAAGCAGCUCAUGGACUUGAUUGAAUGCUGUUCAUGUCUGAGCUAAUAGAGGCAUCCAUUUUGUGACCUGGGACUUGUAUAACCGAACAAGAAAGAAAGGGUUACCAGAGGUCACUCUAACACCUUCCUGAAUGAGUCCAGAGAUCACUCUAACAUUCUCCUGAAUGAGUCCAGAGAUCACUCUAACAUUCUCCUGAAUGAGUCCAGAGGUCACUCUAACAUUCUCCUGAAUGAGUCCAGAGAUCACUCUAACACCUUCCUGAAUGAGUCCAGAGAUCACUCUAACAUUCUCCUGAAUGAGUCCAGAGGUCACUCUAACAUUCUCCUGAAUGAGUCCAGAGGUCACUCUAACAUUCUCCUGAAUGAGUCCAGAGAUCACUCUAACAUUCUCCUGAAUGAGUCCAGAGGUCACUCUAACAUUCUCCUGAAUGAGUCCAGAGAUCACUCUUACAUUCUCCUGAAUGAGUCCAGAGAUCACUCUAACAUUCUCCUGAAUGAGUCCAGAGAUCACUCUAACAUUCUCCUGAAUGAGUACAGAGGUCACUAUAACAUUCUCCUGAAUGAGUCCAGAGGUCACUCUAACAUUCUCCUGAAUGAGUCCAGAGGUCACUCUAACAUUCUCUGAAUGAGUCCAGAGGUCACGCUAACAUUCUCCUGAAUGAGUCCAGAGGUCACUCUAACAUUCUCCUGAAUGAGUCCAGAGGUCACUAACACCUUCCUGAAUGAGUCCAGAGGUCACUAACAUUCUCCUGAAUGAGUCCAGAGGUCACUCUAACAUUCUCUGAAUGAGUCCAGAGGUCACUAACAUUCUCCUGAUUGAGUCCAGAGGUCACUAACAUUCUCCUGAAUGAGUCCAGAGGUCACUCUACCACCUUCCUGAAUGAGUCCAGAGGUCACUAACACCUUCCUGAAAGAGUCCAGAGAUCACUAACACCUUCCUGAAUGAGUCCAGAGGUCACUAACACCUUCCUGAAUGAGUCCAGGGGUCACUAACACCUUACUGAAUGAGUCCAGAGGUCACUAACACCUUCCUGAAUGAGUCCAGAGAUCACUAACACCUUCCUGAAUGAGUCCAGAGGUCACUAACACCUUCCUGAAUGAGUCCAGGGGUCACUAACACCUUACUGAAUGAGUCCAGAGGUCACUAACACCUUCCUGAAUGAGUCCAGAGGUCACUAACACCUUCCUGAAUGAGUCCAGAGGUCACUAACACCUUCCUGAAUGAGUCCAGAGGUCACUAACACCUUCCUGAAUGAGUCCAGAGGUCACUAACACCUUCCUGAAUGAGUCCAGAGGUCACUAACACCUUCCUGAAUGAGUCCAGAGGUCACUAACACCUUCCUGAAUGAGUCCAGAGGUCACUAACAUUGAUUGCUCUAAAUCUGUGUAACACUUUUUGUCUUCCCCUCUCUGACGGGAAACAACACCCUGUCCCCGAAGUCAUGUUUAUACCUCCUCUGGAAAUAGUUUUUCAUAUGUCCUCUGUUAUUGUCUUUCCCUUUACUCACUGACCACUCCCCUCUUUGAUAUACUAUUGGCCAUGUUCCUCAUAUGUCGGAACUAUACACUACUUAUUAUAUACAUGUGUGAUGAAGGACCCUUUGGACAUCUGGUAUCUGAAUGGUAUCAAGUUAACAAAGUAUUCUGAUUCUGUGAUCAGGUGUGUUGAAACAGGUGUGUUGAAACACAGUCCCUCUAAGGUGUGUUGAAGAUCUCACCUGACCUGUUGUGUCAUGAGAAAUAUAAAUUUUAAAAAACAUAAUCAAAUGAAUAUACUUCAUUGAACAUGACAAAAUAUAAAGACAUUGUACUAUACUGUAUUACCAAUAUGAUGUUGACAUACAUGAGUACAGUGUAAUAUUUUAGCUUAUUUAUAAUGCACCAGCCAGCCUUUACAGUAAAACCAGCAUAGCAUUGUAUAUAUCAACUGAUUUAUGCUCUCUUGGGUGGUUGCAUCUGGUUCCAACUGGUUUCAACUGGUUUCAAAUGGUUCCAACUGGUUUCAACUGGUUCCAACUGGCUCCAUCUGGUUCCAACUGGUUCCACAUGGUUUCAACUGGUUCCAACUGGUUUCAACUGGUUCCAAAUGGUUCCAACUGGUUCCACAUGGUUUCAACUGGUUCCAACUGGUUUCAACUGGUUCCAAAUGGUUCCAACUUGUUCCACGUGGUUUCAACUGGUUUCAACUGGUUCCAAAUGGUUCCAACUAGUUCCAAAUGGUUCCAACUGGUUCCACGUGGUUUCAACUGGUUCCAACUGGUUCCAACUUGUUCCACGUGGUUUCAACUGGUUCCACGUGGUUUCAACUGGUUCCAAAUGGUUCCAACUAGUUCCAAAUGGUUCCAACUGGUUCCACGUGGUUUCAACUGGUUCCAACUGGUUCCACGUGGUUUCAACUGGUUCCAACUGGUUCCACGUGGUUUCAACUGGUUCCAACUGGUUUCAAAUGGUUCCAACUGGUUCCAAAUGGUUCCAACUGGUUCCAAGUGGUUCCAACUGGUUUUAAAUGGUAUAGAAAUUCAUCAACUGUUCCUGUGUAGCUUCAUUUUGUAACAAUGUAUGUUCCUUUUUAUGUUAUUUUAGUUAUAUCAUUAUACUGUUGACUGUUGUUACUCUAUCCUUGUUGUUGUUGUUGUUAUAUUAUUCAUAUGUAAACAUUGUUAUGCUAUAUUAUGAAACUCUGUGCCAAUCAAAAUCGCUAUUCGGCUUUUACCUGUCUCACUGGAUAAGAAAACACACACAGAGAGAGAAAGAGAGAGAGAGAGUAGAGAAUUGAAGGAGUUUGUCUGGUGGGAGUCCGUGAUGUCAUCGGGCUCCAUCUUGCUUGAGGAACUGCAGAGACCUAAGGAGGAAAGGCCAUCCUGUGUCACACCCUGUCACACCUGGACUACCGAUUGAGAUGUGGCUUUUGUUAAGGAAAUCAGGUGUUAAAUGACACUUUAAAUCUUUACUUCAUUUUUUAAAAUACGUUUAUCUUAUUACUCUAAUUCUUAUGGCUUAAAGCCCUUCAGAGCACUAAAAUACUUAAUGAAAGCAUAAAUACCCCUCCUUCAUUCACCUCUAUACUAUUCCUGUUCCUGCUUUUAAAGUCCUCCCUAUAAAUGUGUGAUUUUUAGUCUUACCUCUUACUUUAUUUUUAAUACACGAUCAUUACAUUUAUUUUGGAACCUUUGCUGUUUUGUAUUUUUGUGUUAAAGAGCAUGUUGCCAUAAUAUGAAUGCAGUGAAUAAAAUAUUGAUUGAAAACAAA